UGGGGAAUUUUGCGCAAUGGGCGAAAGCCUGACGCAGCAACGCCGCGUGGGUGAUGAAGGUCUUCGGAUCGUAAAACCCUGUCGUCAGGGACGAAGGUUGUAUGUCUAAUAGAUGUGCAACUUGACGGUACCUGGAGAGGAAGCCCCGGCUAACUCUGUGCCAGCAGCCGCGGUAAUACAGAGGGGGCAAGCGUUAUUCGGAAUUAUUGGGCGUAAAGGGCGCGUAGGCGGUGGUUUAAGUGAGAUGUGUAAUCCCCGAGCUUAACUUGGGAACUGCAUCUCAGACUGGAUCGCUAGAGUGCUGGAGAGGGUGGUGGAAUUCCACGUGUAGCGGUGAAAUGCGUAGAGAUGUGGAGGAACACCAGUGGCGAAGGCGGCCACCUGGACAGUAACUGACGC
rnacentral:rRNA from 1 species